UGGAGGGAGGGGUGGAAACCGUGGAAAACUCGUCUCCGUGAUUGAGCGGGAGAGUAAGUAGUAUAGGACAUUAUCCAUUGUUAGGGAACGGUUGUAAUGGUAGUGAGAAUGUAGAAUCGUCUGUGGAGCGGACCUGGGAGUGGCAAGCAUAAGGGACGAAGACGGGGAAACAUGUCGGAUGCGAUCAUACCAGCACUAAAGCACCGGAUCCCAUCAGAACUCCGAAGUUAAGCGUGCUUGGGCGAGAGUAGUACUAGGAUGGGUGACCUCCUGGGAAGUCCUCGUGUUGCAUUCCUUUUAUAAUUAUUUUUUGCGCCUUGUGACAAACAUGUUGCACGUGCGCGAUAUAUAUUAAUCCCGUUAUAUUAUGUUUGACGUUUGCGAUAUGUUUAAGCUCGAUGCUCAUUGCUCGCGCGUCUUGGGGCGGCUUUGUGGCGCGAAGAGCGCGUUCUGAAAGGGGUGGAAAAAACUCGUGUUGCUGCGGUAUGGAGGGAGGGGUGGAAACCGUGGAAAACUCGUCUCCGUGAUUGAGCAGGAGAGUAAGUAGUAUAGGACAUUAUCCAUUGUUAGGGAACGGUUGUAAUGGUAGUGAGAAUGUAGAAUCGUCUUUGGAGCGGACCUGGAAGUGGAAAGCAUAAGGGACGAAGACGGGGAAACAUGUCGGAUGCGAUCAUACCAGCACUAAAGCACCGGAUCCCAUCAGAACUCCGAAGUUAAGCGUGCUUGGGCGAGAGUAGUACUAGGAUGGGUGACCUCCUGGGAAGUCCUCGUGUUGCAUUCCUUUUAUAAUUAUUUUUUGCGCCUUGUGACAAACAUGUCGCACGUGCGCGAUAUAUAUUAAUCCCGUUAUAUUAUGUUUGACGUUUGCGAUAUGUUUAAGCUCGAUGCUCAUUGCUCGCGCGUCUUGGGGCGGCUUUGUGGCGCGAAGAGCGCGUUCUGAAAGGGGUGGAAAAAACUCGUGUUGCUGCGGUAUGGAGGGAGGGGUGGAAACCGUGGAAAACUCGUCUCCGUGAUUGAGCGGGAGAGUAAGUAGUAUAGGACAUUAUCCAUUGUUAGGGAAUGGUUGUAAUGGUAGUGAGAAUGUAGAAUCGUCUUUGGAGCGGACCUGGGAGUGGAAAGCAUAAGGGACGAAGACGGGGAAACAUGUCGGAUGCGAUCAUACCAGCACUAAAGCACCGGAUCCCAUCAGAACUCUGAAGUUAAGCGUGCUUGGGCGAGAGUAGUACUAGGAUGGGUGACCUCCUGGGAAGUCCUCGUGUUGCAUUCCUUUUAUAAUUA
rnacentral:lncRNA from 1 species